ensembl:lncRNA
CGCGGCCCAUGGGUUGGGAAACCCUGUUCUAGAUUAUAUUAUAUUCAAUAAUAAUAACAUAACAGUAAAUGUAGUAAAAAAAAAGUUUUUUAUUUAAAUGAAAUCUAAACAUACCCAUACAAACUCUGAACCUGGUAAACAUAAGUGUUAGCUUCAAAUAGGUGAGUUUAGCAUUCAGAAAGUGUGUGUGGUUUCACUACUAAUUAUAAGUCAUUUCAAAGUAACCUUUUCUUCUCAGAAACCGCAAUGAAUAUUGAUGAGAUAGGUGUAAACUGUCAUGUGAUUCUCUCCCCCUCCCCCAUGUCGCCAUGACAACAUUGACAGGGUUAGUCACAAGAGAACAUUCCCACAGGAGAAUCAAACAGGUUCCCCAAGAUCACCAUCCUAAGACUGCAGUAGCCUAAGCAUUUAGUUACAGUAUACGGUUACGACAUAGCCCCCUUCCUAUAGGCCAAAGGCCAAGCACAUCGUCAUCGACUUCAGACGACAGAGACGUAUGGAAAGUGGAGUUUAUUCAGAAUCAGCCAAAGCCAGGGGACAGGGGGAAAAAACCGGGAUAAACACAAAAGCAACACAGGAUGCAAAGCUCAGAAGUUGAAAAGGUCAAAACGUGAACGCACAGAAGAUAAGUCUAAAACUACAACACACAGAAGUCAAACAGGAAAAUUAAGGGCAAACAAGGAACAAAUGUGAAACGUGAACGUAUUUAUGAUCUGUGUAAAUUUAGUGAGCAUCACUAUCUGAUAGGGGUGGGAAUCUCUUGGCACCUCACGAUUCGAUUCGAUUCCGAUUCAGAGGUCAACGAUUCGAUUCUAAACCGAUUAUCGAUUCUAAACCAAUUAUAGAUUAUCAAUUCUAAACCGAUAAAACGAUUAUCGAUGCAUGUCGAUUUUUUUUUUUUAGUUUGCUACUCAGUCUCAAAUCACUUCCUACUUUGUGAUAAUUAUAGAAAAUCAACAGAUGAAUUACCUUCUCUAUUUUUUCAUCAGAGAAAAAGCUUUUCCUUGUCACAAUUAUGACUUUCAAUGAACAAUGCAAUAAUCGAUGCAGCUUGCAUUUCAACACAAAAUGGAUGUGUAAAAAAAAAAAAUCGAUUAUAAACUUUUCUGAAUCGAAACAGAAUCGUUCUAGAGAGAAUCGAGAGAAAUCGAAGAAUCGAUUUUUUUUCCCACCCCUACUAUCUGACUACUAUAGUUCCUGUUUUAGCAACAGAAGUAAUACGUCACGAUAUGAGCUACAUCUGGCAUGAAACACAUGGCGAAUAAACAAAAUAACACAAGACAGUUCAUUUGAGUAGCAGGUCCUUUGCCUGGGUGUCUAUUCGGUUUCUGCUGAGUUUUCAUGUUCAUUGCAAGUCUCAAACUACACAUGCAUCCUGGUGGUUUUAGUCAUGAGAGUAAAAAAAUACACAAAUACAUGCAAAUACAUUAGAGCAAGAAAAAACCCUAUAUCCUAACACCUUGUGUCACCAAAAGCCCAUUAUAACACAGUGUAAAAUCAUAUACAGCCAAACCCUGUCAAGAACGUUGCUGUUUGUUGCAAAAAAAAAAAAAAGAAAACAGAUAAACACAGUUGGUGAGAGAUAACCCUACCUGAGCCACUUCAGGUCAUCUUCUUAUGCAGGUAUACACAUAAAUGAAGUUACUUCACAAUAAUUAUACCCUAUGUGGCAUGUGGUCACGCUGGCCAAUAUGUCUUUAAUUUUGUUCACAAUAAAAUCUGCCUACGUGGAUGGUAUUCUUUCAUAGCCGCAAUGUCUCCUCGCAGCUCUGUAGAUCAGAAGUACAAACACCAUGGUAAGAGUUGCCAGCUGAAAGCCAAGGGGAAGGGUUUGAGCUACAUUCAGCCACUGGAAUCAGAUAGGGAGACGCUUUAAAUUUCAGCAGAUUCAGAAACAAAACCAAAUGGUUCCUCUGUAAGACAAUAUAUUAAAGUUUACCAAGUGACGUGACAUUUUUCCGUUAAUCAAUUAUUUGCAUUUAGCUUGCCUCUCUACCUCACUUGCAAAUUGCUUCGGAGAAAAGUGUCCAUAUCAAUGUAAAUACAGACAGCCACUAGACAUGAGCACACACAGGCAC